GGCCGGCUGAUUAUUUUUUUCCCCUUGUCUUUUGCGCACUUGUUGUUUCCUGGGCGGGUUCCCCCGCCACCAGGACCACCUUUUUUACCUUUUUUUCUUAUGCAGUUUCCAUCACCGUCAGUAAAAACAAUGUAAUUAUUACAACUUUCUCCAACGGAUCUCUUGGUUCUGGCAUCCAUGAAAAACGCAUCGAAAUGGGAUACUUAGUGUGAAUUGCAAAAUUCAGUGAAUCAUCCAAUCUUUGAACGCACAUUGCGCCCUUUGGUAUUCCAAGGGGCAUGCCUGUUCGAGCGUCAUUUGUACCUUCGAGCUUUGCUUGGUGUUGGGCGUUUUUUUGUCUCCCUCUUUCUGGGAGACUCGCCUUAAAACGAUUGGCGGCCGGCCUACUGGUUUCGGAGCGCAGCACAUUUUUUGCGCUUUGUAUCAGGAGAAAAGGACGGUACUCCAUCGAGACUCUACAUUUUUCACUUUUGACCUCGGAUCAGGUAGGGAUACCCGCUGAACUUAAGCAUAUCAAUAGCGGAGGA
rnacentral:rRNA from 1 species